rnacentral:tRNA from 1 species
GGAGAGGUGGGUGAGUGGCUUAAACCAGCAGUUUGCUAAACUGUCGUAUUCUAAUAGGAUACCGGGGGUUCGAAUCCCCCCUUCUCCG